rnacentral:sRNA from 1 species
GCCGGGAGUGGUGGUGCACACCUGUAAUCCCAGUGGCUCAGGAGGCUGAGGCAGGAGGAUUGCUAGUUCAAAACCAGCCUCAGCAACAGCAAGGCACUAAGCAACUCAGUGAGACCCUGUCUCUA